CUCACCGCAUCGCGCUCUUCCCCAUCGUCCCCCAUCGCCUCAGCGCCUGGCGCUCCUUCCGCAUCGUCCCUCACAAACUCCCUGCCUCCCUCUUCUCCCUAUCUUCACUCAACGCCUCACAGCCUCAUCGCUUCGCAGGCGUCCCCAUCGUCCCUCUUCGAGUCACACUUGUCCCCAUCGUCCCCAUCGCAUUGCGCUUGCGUCCCCAUCGUCCCUCUUCGAGUCACACUUGUCCCCAUCGUCCCCAUCGCAUUGCGCUUGUCCCCAUAAUCUCUCAUCGCAUCGCACUCCUCCCCAUCGCCUCAUCGCCUCACUGCCUCGCGCUCCUUCCGCAUCCUCCUCCACAGAUUCCCCGCCUCCCGCUCCUCGCCAGCUUGACUCAUCGCCUCACCGCCUCGUCGCAUCGUAGGCCUCCCCAUCGUCCACCACAUUGCAAUCGUCGCCAUCGUCCCUCGUCUCACCACCUCCUCAUCGCAUCGCAGCCGUCCCCAUCGUCCUUCACCGCAUCUCACUCCUCCCCAUCGUCCCGAUCGCCGCACCGCCUCGCGCUCCUUCCGCAGCGUCCCUCUAAGAUUCCCCGCCUCGCACUGGUCCCCAUCAUCCCUCACAGCAUCGCACUCCUCCCCAUAGUCCCUCAUCGCAUCGCAUUCGUCCCCAUCGUCCCCCAUCGCCUCACCACCUCGCGCUCCUUCCGCAUCCUCCCCCACAGACUCCCCGCCUCCCGCUCCUCCCCAGCGUGACUCAUCGCCUCACAGCCUCAUCCCAUUGCAGGCGUCCCAAACCUCCAUCGUAGGAUCGCACUUGUCCCCAUCGUCCCCCAAGGCAUCGCGCUGGUGCCCAUCGUUCUCCAUCGCCUCACCGCCUGGCGCUCCUUCCCCAUCAUCCCUCACAGACUCCCCGCCUCCCGCUCCUCCCCAGCGUGACUCAUCGCCUCACAGCCUCAUCCCAUUGCAGGCGUCCCAAACCUCCAUCGUAGGAUCGCACUCGUCCCCAUAGUCCCUCACCGCAUCGCGCUCCUCCUCAUUGUCCCCGAUCGCAUCGCAC
rnacentral:lncRNA from 1 species